AUAUCUUUUUCCUCUCUCCCCUCUCUCACGCGUGCGACACCCCUCUCUCCAUCUUUUUCUUCUUCUCUUUCCUGUACCCUAACCCAGCCGACCAUCAUCUUCUCCCCUUCCCUUGCCGUUCAGAUCCAUGGCCUCCGCCCACCGCCGCGUGACCCUCUGCCCAGCCCCGCCGCGUGACCUCUGUCUCCGUCGAAGCCAAGUCCAGCCGUCGUCCAUUCCUUUCCUCUCUUCUUCUCCGUUCGUGAAGCCCAGUCGCCGCGUCAGAUCGUCGAUCGAUUUUGAGGCAGCGCGCACGCCUCCUUCUAGCCGCGCGUUUCCUCUUCUUCCAGCAACGUGUUUUUUCUUCUAACCGCGAUUCACAAACCGACGUACACUCUAAUCUGUUUGCACGAUGGUUUUUGUUUAGAAUCGAUUGCCGCUGCCCCUAUUUUUACUGAGAUCCGUCGAAGUAUUGUUGGUAAGAUUGAAGUUAUGAAAUUGUAGUCGUUUUCAAAACAAUUUAAGUAUGGGUUGUGAUGUUUUCAAGGUGUUCAAACGUUACGGAUGGGUUAAUUGACUAAUUUGAUAAAUUAUUCUUGAAGGUGUGAAAGGUAACCUUGGAUCACUUAAAUUCACAACCAAUUUGUGAAUUUUGAUUUCGGUUUGCCCUUAUUUGGAUUGUUUCGUGGACGAUAGUUGAUUAAGGGAGCUUCCCUAACUUUGAGGCAAAGGUAAUAAAGGCAGCAAACCGGCGAGGGGCAGGAAGGAAGCGUGACCGCCACAGGGGACACUUUAAAAUUUUGCUUCCGCUUAGUGAUUUAUAGUAUUAUUUGUAUUCGAACGUGAGACUGUUUAGAAAAUUUUGAAGUUUUAAAGUAUUCAAAGAUUUGAAACUUUUUAGUUUUAAA